AGAGUUUGAUCCUGGCUCAGAACGAACGCUGGCGGCAGGCCUAACACAUGCAAGUCGAGCGCAGUCCUUCGGGACCGAGCGGCGGACGGGUUAGUAACGCGUGGGAACGUACCCUUUUCUACGGAAUAGCCAUUGGAAACGAUGAUUAAUACCGUAUACGCCCUUUUGGGGAAAGAUUUAUCGGAGAAGGAUCGGCCCGCGUUAGAUUAGAUAGUUGGUGGGGUAAUGGCCUACCAAGUCUACGAUCUAUAGCUGGUUUGAGAGGAUGAUCAGCAACACUGGGACUGAGACACGGCCCAGACUCCUACGGGAGGCAGCAGUGGGGAAUCUUGGACAAUGGGCGCAAGCCUGAUCCAGCCAUGCCGCGUGAGUGGUGAAGGCCCUAGGGUCGUAAAGCUCUUUCGCCAGGGAAGAUAAUGACGGUACCUGGUAAAGAAACCCCGGCUAACUCCGUGCCAGCAGCCGCGGUAAUACGGAGGGGGUUAGCGUUGUUCGGAAUUACUGGGCGUAA
rnacentral:rRNA from 1 species